GGAUGUAGCUCAGUGGUAUAGUAUAUGUUUAGCAUGCAUGAGGCCCUGGGUUCAAUCCCCAGGUUCAAUCCA
rfam:Ictidomys tridecemlineatus contig068614, whole genome shotgun sequence.